rnacentral:rRNA from 1 species
UACGUAGGGUGCAAGCGUUGUCCGGAAUUAUUGGGCGUAAAGAGCUUGUAGGCGGUUUGUCGCGUCUGCUGUGAAAUUUCGGGGCUCAACCCCGAACUUGCAGUGGGUACGGGCAGACUAGAGUGUGGUAGGGGAGACUGGAAUUCCUGGUGUAGCGGUGAAAUGCGCAGAUAUCAGGAGGAACACCGAUGGCGAAGGCAGGUCUCCGGGCCAUAACUGACGCUGAGAAGCGAAAGCAUGGGGAGCGAACAGG